GCGAAGAACCUUACCUACUCUUGACAUCCAGAGAACUUAGCAGAGAUGGUUUGGUGCCUUCGGGAACUCUGAGACAGGUGCUGCAUGGCUGUCGUCAGCUCGUGUUGUGAAAUGUUGGGUUAAGUCCCGCAACGAGCGCAACCCUUAUCCUUUGUUGCCAGCGGUUCGGCCGGGAACUCAAAGGAGACUGCCAGUGAUAAACUGGAGGAAGGUGGGGAUGACGUCAAGUCAUCAUGGCCCUUACGAGUAGGGCUACACACGUGCUACAAUGGCGCAUACAAAGAGAAGCGACCUCGCGAGAGCAAGCGGACCUCAUAAAGUGCGUCGUAGUCCGGAUUGGAGUCUGCAACUCGACUCCAUGAAGUCGGAAUCGC
rnacentral:rRNA from 1 species